rnacentral:rRNA from 1 species
AUUGAACGCUGGCGGCAUGCCUUACACAUGCAAGUCGAACGGCAGCACGGGGGCAACCCUGGUGGCGAGUGGCGAACGGGUGAGUAAUACAUCGGAACGUAUCCUAUGGUGGGGGAUAACUAGUCGAAAGAUUAGCUAAUACCGCAUAAGCUCGAAAGAGGAAAGCAGGGGACCCGCAAGGGCCUUGCGCGAUUGGAGCGGCCGAUGUCCGAUUAGCUUGUUGGCGGGGUAAAAGCCCACCAAGGCGACGAUCUGUAGCUGGUCUGAGAGGACGACCAGCCACACUGGGACUGAGACACGGCCCAGACUCCUACGGGAGGCAGCAGUGGGGAAUAUUGGACAAUGGGCGCAAGCCUGAUCCAGCAAUGCCGCGUGAGUGAGGAAGGCCUUAGGGUUGUAAAGCUCUUUCACCCGCGACGAUGAUGACGGUAGCGGGAGAAGAAGCCCGGCUAACUUCGUGCCAGCAGCCGCGGU